GUUGCCGUGGCCGAGAGGUUAAGGCGAUAGACUUGAAAUCUUUUGGGAUUUUCCCGCGCAGGUUCGAAUCCUGCCGUCAACG
rnacentral:tRNA from 1 species